CGGGGCUUAAAGUCUUGUAAUUGGAAUGAUGGGAAUUUAAACCUCUUCCAGAGUAUCAAUUGGAGGGCAAGUCUGGUGCCAGCAGCCGCGGUAAUUCCAGCUCCAAUAGCGUAUAUUAAAAUUGUUGCAGUUAAAAAGCUCGUAGUUGAAUUUCUGCUGCAUUGCUUGUGUCCUUCUGGGGUCUGUGCAUGUGGCUUUUUUCGGACGGAGUUUCUUUGUCUGAAUGUUUACUUUGAGAAAAUUAGAGUGCUCAAAGCAGGCUUUCGCCUUGAAUAGUUUAGCAUGGAAUAAUAAAGUAGGACUUUGGUUCUAUUUUGUUGGUUUUAGGUACCAAAGUAAUGGUUAAUAGGAACAGUUGGGGGCAUUCGUAUUUAACUGUCAGAGGUGAAAUUCUUAGAUUUGUUAAAGACGAACUACUGCGAAAGCAUUUGCCAAGGAUGUUUUCAUUAAUCAAGAAC
rnacentral:rRNA from 1 species